rnacentral:telomerase_RNA from 1 species
AUGAGGAGGUCGGUUACCUAUUAAGAUGUCCAUGGUCGUCACGUUUAGUUACUAGUAUUUUUUCUCUUUUGUUUCUGUUUUUUGUGCAUUUUCCAUUUGAGUUUUCUAUUGUUGAGCCUCAGAUAUUUGGUAGACGCUUAAUGGUGGAAUGAUUGGACCGGAUUUAGGGUUGUGUUCUCAGAUUGGCGGGCAGUUACACUGGUUGUUGUUUUUUAACGAAGGGCUAUGAGUGCGCUGGUGUCAGUGUAGAUACAUAUGUAUGCGCACAUGUGGUUUUUGUUGUUCUUCUACUUAUAGAUCGCUAAAAUCUGAGUUUGAGAAAUGCGGGACCAUCCAUGUCCGAAUAUAACUGACGCAUUUUGUAGCUAGAACACGUUUUUCCUACA